rnacentral:rRNA from 1 species
GAUGAACGCUGGCGGUAUGCCUAACACAUGCAAGUCGUACGAGAGUUUUUAACUCAAGUGGCGGACGGGUGAGUAACACGUGAGAAUUUGCCUUUAGGAGGGGGACAACAACUGGAAACGGUUGCUAAUACCCCAUAUGCUUUCGAGUGAAAUGAAUUUGUUCGCCUAAAGAGAAGCUCGCGGCUGAUUAGCUUGUUGGUGGGGUAAGAGCCUACCAAGGCGACGAUCAGUAUCUGGUUUGAGAGGACGAUCAGACACACUGGAACUGAGACACGAUCCAGACUCCUACGGGAGGCAGCAGUGGGGAAUUUUCCGCAAUGGGCGAAAGCCUGACGGAGCAAUACCGCGUGAAGGAAGACGGCCUAUGGGUUGUAAACUUCUUUUUUCAGGGAGGAAUUC